rnacentral:lncRNA from 1 species
CACGGUACUCAUAACUGUACACUCAUUCUAUUGAAACGACAUCAAAAUGUGUGUAUCAACAACAUUCUUAUUACAUUAAUAAUAUUACAUCCCGUUCCCAGGUUCUAAAACCAUUACAUUCUUUGUUCAUCAUACUAUAAUAUAUACAACUCACUAGUUUAUUACAAGGUAAACUAAUCGUUCAUCUUCGUCUUGCCUUUAUCCUUGCCCGAUCCUUCGGUCCGUUCGAUCUAAGCUGCAUUCAUAUGGUUCAAGCAACAGUGAGCAUAACAAGCUCAACAAGUACAACAAUUUCUUUUAAACAACAUGCUUGAAACAUAAGAAUCAUAUAUCCUCAAUAACUGAAUAAUAGUUACGAAGUACUAUCAAUAAUUCAAAAUAGCAUUUCUUUUCCUUCAAAACAUUUUACAAUAACAAUAUUCAGAAAAACAUUAAUUCUGGUCCAAGACCAUAAGCUUUUCAUAAUUUCUUUGAAAAGGACAACCCGGCACUAAGUCUGUAAGUCCGGCAUAUCUUACGAGCACUUCCGGGUGAUCAGCCCAUAGUACUCUAUGUUGAUCAACACUACAUUCAUUAAACGUAUGUACGUUUAAGUUGUGGCAACCUCACGUGCCCAUCGAAUAAUCGAUGAAAAAUACAUUUGUUUAUUCAUACUCAGGCUUACCUUGAAUCCGUACCAAACAAUUGGCGUAGGAUAGCGUUAGCAAUUAAAGACUUGUAAAUAAAUCAAUCAACUCUUCAAGAUUAGUCUAGUCGAGGUAAAACUGGCAUCGACCCUUUAGUAAAACUGUAACGCCCCAAAAUCGAGACUAUUUUCCUUCCCGAUCUUGUGCGUUAAUAUUAUCUUGUUCUAGCUUUAAAACAUUAUUUAAUGUUAAAAUAGCUAAAAAUAUGGAAUAAUUUUUUUUCUUUCCAUUCAUUCAUUCCCUGAAUCGCAACCUUUACAAUUCUUCUUUAUACUAGAAUCAUAUUAUAUGAUUUAUUGAGCCUGAGUAGAUAUGAGUAAUAAUAUACAAUUCAUUCUUUCAAGCAUAUCCCAUUUUUAGAACAAAUAAUCUUCAUCUAUCGAAUAAUGCAACAAUUUACACAUCUGUGAUUUACAUAUAAAAAUAUCAUCAAAUGAUUCAACAUGAUCUCAACUAAAUCACUAGUCUUCUUUUCAUACACUCCUAAUCACGAUAGAUCGCAUCAUAGGUUUAACCUGCAAAUUAAGCAAGAUUGAGCACGACGGCCCAACAAGUCUAACAGUCUAUCAUACAUCAUGUAGCACAUAGGUUUCACAUUCAAUUCAUGCAUUUAUAUUCUUGGUAUUCAAGCAUAAUACAAAUGCAUUAUCACAUUUAUGUCCUGCUGGUAGCAACAUACAUACCAUACCAUACUACACAUGUCCUGUACAUGUCAUUCAUUACAUAUAUGUAUUGAGUUCCCUGACUUAAUUCAAUAAUUAGUCAUAAUUUGACCUUCAUCAUUCACAAAGCAAAUAAUGCAGUUAAUAGGUAUUAUAUACUUAUAAACAUAAAUCAUGCUAACAGUAAUCUAUUAUAAGUCCACAUAAAUAAACUGAGAAACUUGCCUGUACCGGGGUUUUACCAUUACACCAACUUCUGUGUUCCUUGCACAACCUACAUUGUAUGUGGGAUUGAUAACAAAACACGUAAUUUCAGUUAUCAUGGAGGUAGUUUAGAUUUCUAUAUCUGAGAUAUUGUAUACAUUUUUCAAAUACCUCAUCCAUGUUUUCUCAUUAGUCAUCUUUCACUUUGAUGGGGUUUGACAUGCUUAUAUUAUGCAAUAGGAAUGAUUUUAAAGUUAUCAUUUACAUCUUAUUCAGGAUUUAGAACAUAAAGGGUUCAUGUGUUCUUGAGUUCACUAGUUUUGGUCAAUUCUUGCCAAUUUCAUUUCUAGCCACCUUAGUUCAUUCCAACACUUGAAUUAUAUCUAGUUAGGACUAGUUCUAGCAUUCAUAUAGGUUUACCAAGCAUAGAUUGGGUUUUGACCCUUUAAACCGAGCUUUUUCACGCUUUUACACACUAACUUCUCAAGUUCUUGUAUACAUUAGCAUUCCAACACUUGGAAUAGCCUAGCAUAACUCUAACUCACUUGUCUAAGGUGUUCAAAUUGUUUUCUAGGCUAAAUGGAAAAAUCUCAAAUUUCACACAGAAAAAUUUUCAAAACUGCAGUUAGGAUGAUUUUCCAUGCUAGUUUGGUGAUUUGUUUAGACUCCUUGGUUAAGCCAAGAGCUUAACCACUUGGACCUACUUCUAGACCAUACUACAAGUUAUUUUAAUCAAAGUUUAGGUUUCUUGUUCAUGCCCAUUAAGCUUCCCAAAACAGGGCUCAAACUUAGCCAUUUUCUCACUUUUUUUACAAAACUGUUUUUGAAUUUUUUCCAUUUUUUUCUAGUUUUGGCCACUAGGAUAAUCAAGGCAUGUGUAUUUAAGUUACUUAAGGAUAAUUUUAGCAUCACCACAACUUAUUUAAUCAUCUAGCCCAUUUUGACCUAUCAAAGCUCACUUUAGGCUUGAAAAAGAGAUCUUAAAUUGAUUUUCUUGCCAGCUUUGGUCAUGGCAAUGGUUAGGAAUCAUCACAAGCAUGAAUUAACAACUUUAUAUGAGUUCAUUACAGUCUUAUAAGUUCAAGUACUAGAAGUUACCCAAAACAGUCUACUUUUGAUCUUAAAAUGUGAUUUUUAACAAGUCCAAUGCCCAAAACAGUUUAGAAUUGGUUUCUUUAACUUGUGUAGCUUACUUAUGCCAUAUUAUAACUAUUGAAACUUGCCUACAUGGUCCAGGUAUGGUAGUUCCAUAGUUGGGUGUUAGUUGACACUUUAAAGCUUACUUUAAUAGCUUUUAGUAUGAUUUUUGGACAAUACCCAUCUUAGACUUCAACUAACUUUACGAACAUCUUUUAAAUGACAUUUAUGGACAAUGAGAGUAUACCUUACUGAUUUAUAACAUCAGUAGCUACAAAUGGCCAUAACAGCCCCCUUAUAGGCACAAUUUUGGCUCCUAAUUCACAACAGUCCAUAGUAUGAUUCAAGCAGCCUUUAGGUACUCUAACAACCUUUAAAACAUGAUUAUUAUAUAACAUUAUAUUCCUUAACAUGCUUGCAAUAAUCUGUUAAUUUUCUAACACCAAAACAGUCCAUACUAGACAUUUUAGUAGGGUUUAGCACUAAACCAACAUAACAGUCCCCAAGCCUUUUAAUACAAGCAUUAUUUCAUCUUGUAAUUGUUAUAUACAAUGUAUUCAUGGUUUAAAACACAUAGAUGCAAGGCCUUAAGCUUUUUGUUAAAAACAGCCCUCUAUAGGCCUUACAUUUCACAAGGACACAUGGUUUAGCAAUUUAUAGUUUCUAUCUAUACUUUUAGAUUUAUUACAGAAUGCUUACCAAAACAGCCCCUGCUGUUGGGAAAUAAAGACUACUGCUGCUGCCAGCAGCAACAACUUCUUCCUUUUAGCUUCCCCUUCUACAAUUUCUAAACCUUAAUUCAUGCCCUCUAAUAUACUACAUUUUUGGAAAUAAGGUAGAUAACAUACUCCCCUAGUUAGAUAAAAUGAUAAACAAGAUAUUUAAACAUUCUAACUAUGCCGACUGAGAGCUCAAAGAAGAGCCCCCAGCCCAGCCCGCUGCAACUGCUGCUGUCAAGGACAGCAGCUCUUCACCCACAUGGCCAUUUUUUCUAAUUUUUUUGUUUCUAAGUUAUAUGACCAUUUAAAUCCAUUUUUAGAUAUAUUGUACAUAGCAUAUGGGAGUAUUUUUAGAAAUUAUAAAACCUCCAUUUCAGGCUUGUUAGGCUGCCCAAAACAGAACUUAAAAAUGCCCAAUCAUAACGGUUUUUAAUUUUUUCUCAGCUUUACCCUACCUCGCUAAAACAGUCAUAACUAAUUCGUUUUAAAACAUUUUUGAGCGAUUCUUGCGCCCACGCGAAGCUAACUUCUGGGGCUACAACUUUCAUUCAUGGACCAUCUUCAAAUUCCAAGCACAAAAUUCCAGAAAAUCCGUGCAAGGGGACUGCUCUGAAUUUGUUGGACAGAUUUGACGCAACUACUUUGAAAUGUCAUAACGCCUUGCUCCGAAGUCGGAAUUAGUCCGUUCUGGAGUCUAUGGAAAGAUUAUUCAGUGUACUAUAAUAUCCCAAAAGCCCACAAUUUUCUAGAAAGUCUAGCUAGCCCCGAAUUUGUCCUUAGGGUCAGCAGUUCACAAUUUUUCGGUUUCUAACAUGUUUAUUUCGCGACCUUAUUACUUCUAGCUCAUAUACCAAAUUAGAACAAAUUUUAAAUAUGUUAUAUAUCGUAUAUGAUACUGUAAAUAAAGCUAUAAACUUCCCAUUUCGGAAUCUUUAAGCUGCUCAAAACAGUGGUCAAUAAUGGCUUAACACACUUAUUUUCAACUUUUCGUUUUGGUUUAAAACUGCUUUUCGUUUUAACUUGAUAUGCUCAAGCUCUUUAAUUGUCAUCGUAUAUGUUAUAUAUAUCUAGACCAAGCUUUAGUUUUACCUAAUACUUGGUUUUUAACCAAAACAGUUCUUAGAGGACUUUUAUCGAACAAGUGGUGUGCGUUGUUUAAAACUACUUAUGUCAUAGCUAUUUGUUUGUAUUAAGCAUCCAUUUUAUCACCCUUAUUGCUCCUCAGUCCAACCUAUCUCCUUGUGCCUAAUUUCAAUUCAUAGCAAUACAACAAUAGCAUAGCAGUCACUAACUUCCUACAGCAGUAACAUAGCAACUCAAACAUUUUAAUGUAGCAGUCCUUCUAUUGCCAGCCAUUUCGCAUUACAGUUCAAUGAAAAGGAAUGGAAAAGAUUCAAUUUAGUAUACCUUGUUGGGCUGCUUGAUUAUAGACUUCAAGAUAAAGAGAUUGAUGGUUGCUUUGUUGUUCAAGCCUUCUCCUUUACCAGUCGGAUGCUUACACCUUCACCACAUAACUUCUACUGAUUUUGCUCUUAGUAUAUUUGUACAGCUACUGAACUUGGGUGUAUGGUGUGGCCAUAUAUGGCUGAACUUUGACUAGUCAUCAUGGCCCUAUUGCUUGCUUUCUUUAACCUAUACCUGCUAUGUUAUGGACUCAUUCAGCCCCCUAACACAAAAGUCAGUUGGCUCCUAAUUACCUUAUCUGAUAUGCCCUACUUGGUCCCUACAUUAGCUACCUUACUUGGUCUCCAAAACUUCUCUGCUGCAGUCUACUCCUAGCAGCUAAGUUGGCUUGCAGUGAUCUAGCCUCCUAACAGAUAACUUAGGCACUCUUAGGGGUCAACUAACUUGUUAACUAACUAACUAACUAACUUACUGCUCUCUUUUUGGAACCAGUUUCUACUAUCAGCUAAUUAAUAAGACUUAUAGCUUAUUUCUCCCAACAUGGCUGCUGGAAUUUACAGUGAAAGGGCUGGAUUUAAAUUGGUAUUUGGGCUCAAAGUAUGCAAUCAACUCCUUAUUUUUCCAACGUGGGCUACUGAAUUUGGACAUUAAGAGAGAGUGGAUAUAACUUUAUUUUGGGCUUAGUACAACUACCCUUAACACUAAUGAAAUUAAAAUGCUUGCACACAAACAUGAAAAAUUUAAGUUGACCAAUAUUUACAUGUGGACACUUGCACAUAACAAUAUAUGUAAAUUUAUCUACCACACUUAUUUAGGCUAGCUAAAUUGUAAUUAGCACAAACAUUACUAAAAUAAUGGUUCCAUGUAAUUUAAUUAGCCUAUUUGAGUACUCAUCAUUUUCCAAAUAAUACUUUUUGAAUGAAAUAAAU